UACGUAGGGGGCGAGCGUUGUCCGGAUUUAUUGGGCGUAAAGAGCGUGUAGGCGGCCAGGUAGGUCUGCUGUGAAAACUCGAGGCUCAACCUCGAGACGUCGGCGGAAACCAUCUGGCUAGAGUCCGGAAGAGGAGACUGGAAUUCCUGGUGUAGCAGUGAAAUGCGUAGAUAUCAGGAGGAACACCGAUGGCGAAGGCAGGAUCUCCUGGGCUGACACUGACGCUCAUGCACGAAAGCGU
rnacentral:rRNA from 1 species